rnacentral:sRNA from 1 species
AUAUAAUUGGUUAAAAACUAUUAAAUAUAUUUAAUGUUUACAUAGAAAAGUGAAAACAACACGUAUAUUGAAAAAAUAAAAAACCUUUAAACUACACUUAAUUAGAAACAGGGGAGUAUAUACUAUGAACCAGCCUUAUCUUAGCUGUAUCUAAUU